UACUGGAUGUUCUGUGCAGCCCAUGAAGAGGACUACAGUGGAAUAGAUGUUCACACUGCAGCCCGUGGAGGACCCCAUGCUGGGUGGAUAUUUCCUGAAGGAACUGCAGCACAUGAGAAGCCCACACAGGAGCACGUUCUCCUGACAGGAACUGUGGCCCAUGGAGGACCUACACUGAAGCAGGGGCAAAAUGUGAGGUAGAAGGAGCAGCAGAGAAGGACUGUUAGGGAUUGACUGCAACCCCCCGUUCCUCAUCCCAGUGCACCACUCAGGAGGGAGGUAGAGGAGCUGGGAACGAAGGAGUGAAGUUGAGCCUGGGAAAAAAGGCUUUUGUGAAUAGUUGUGGUCCAGAGAUCUGGGCUGGCAUCGGAAACCACCAAAUCCCAUCAAGUUCUGCAACCAACUUACCUGAGUUAAUGAAGAAACUGAGAAGAAAACAGUUAACUCCUGUCAAUUCUGGAUCUGUACUGGCUGAUUUACCAGUCCCUAAGGGGGGAGAUAGAGCCCAAAUCUGGAUCUGACGCCCUAUAUGGAGCCGGAGGUGCUUCAA